UACGUAGGGCGCAAGCGUUGUCCGGAAUUAUUGGGCGUAAAGAGCUCGUAGGCGGUCUGUUACGUCCGCUGUGAAAACCCAGGGCUUAACCCUGGGCUUGCAGUGGAUACGGGCAGACUAGAGGCAGGUAGGGGAGAAUGGAAUUCCCGGUGUAGCGGUGAAAUGCGCAGAUAUCAGGAGGAACACCGGUGGCGAAGGCGGGUCUCUGGGCCGAAAUUGACGCUGAGGAGCGAAAGCGUGGGGAGCAAACAGG
rnacentral:rRNA from 1 species